UCCUACGGGGGGCAGCAGUAGGGAAUUUUCGUCAAUGGGCGCAAGCCUGAACGAGCAAUGCCGUGUGAACGAGGAAGGUCUUCGGAUCGUAAAGUUCUGUUGAAGGGGAAAAAGAGCGGAGAGAGGAAAUGGUCUCCGAUUGAUAUUACCCUUCGAGGAAGUCACGGCUAACUACGUGCCAGCAGCCGCGGUAAUACGUAGGUGGCGAGCGUUAUCCGGAAUGAUUGGGCGUAAAGGGUGCGUAGGCGGCCUGCUAAGUCUGGAGUGAAAGGUACCGGCUCAACCGGUACAGGCUCUGGAAACUG
rnacentral:rRNA from 1 species